AGCAUAUCAAUAAGCGGAGGAAAAGAAACCAACAGGGAUUGCCCUAGUAACGGCGAGNGAAGCGGCAACAGCUCAAAUUUGAAAUCUGGCCUUCGGGUCCGAGUUGUAAUUUGUAGAGGAUGCUUUUGGUGAGGUGCCUUCCGAGUUCCCUGGAACGGGACGCCAUAGAGGGUGAGAGCCCCGUCUGGUUGGACACCGAUCCUCUGUAAAGCUCCUUCAACGAGUCGAGUAGUUUGGGAAUGNUGCUCUAAAUGGGAGGUAUAUGUCUUCUAAAGNUAAAUAUUGGCCAGAGACCGAUAGCGCACAAGUAGAGUGAUCGAAAGAUGAAAAGCACUUUGAAAAGAGAGUUAAAAAGUACGUGAAAUUGUUGAAAGGGAAGCGNUCAUGACCAGACUUGGGCUUGGUUGAUCAUNUAGGGUUCUCCNUGGUGCACUCUUCCAGCUCAGGCCAGCAUCAGUUCGCUGUGGGGGAUAAAGGCUUUGGGAAUGUGGCUCCCUCGGGAGUGUUAUAGCCCAUUGUGUAAUACCCUGUGGUGGANUGAGGUUCGCGCAUUCGCAAGGAUG
rnacentral:rRNA from 1 species